ACAAACGACUCUCGCAACGGAUAUCUCGGCUCACGCAUCGAUGAAGAACGUAGCAAAAUGCGAUACUUGGUGUGAAUUGCAGAAUCCCGUGAACCAUCGAGUUUUUGAACGCAAGUUGCGCCCGAAGCCAUUCGGCCGAGGGCACGUCUGCCUGGGCGUCACG
rnacentral:rRNA from 1 species